rnacentral:rRNA from 1 species
GACGAACGCUGGCGGCGUGCUUAACACAUGCAAGUCGAACGAAGAGCGAUGGAAGCUUGCUUCUAUCAAUCUUAGUGGCGAACGGCUGAGUAACGCGUAAUCAACCUGCCCUUCAGAGGGGGACAACAGUUGGAAACGACUGCUAAUACCGCAUACGAUCCAAUCUCGGCAUCGGGACUGGAUGAAAGGUGGCCUCUAUUUAUAAGCUAUCACUGAAGGAGGGGAUUGCGUCUGAUUAGCUAGUUGGAGGGGUAACGGCCCACCAAGGCGAUGAUCAGUAGCCGGUCUGAGAGGAUGAACGGCCACAUUGGGACUGAGACACGGCCCAGACUCCUACGGGAGGCAGCAGUGGGGAAUCUUCCGCAAUGGACGAAAGUCUGACGGAGCAACGCCGCGUGAGUGAUGACGGCCUUCGGGUUGUAAAGCUCUGUUAAUCGGGACGAAUGGUUCUUGUGCGAAUAGUGCGAGGAUUUGACGGUACCGGAAUAGAAAGCCACGGCUAACUACGU